AUCACUUCUCGGCCUUUUGGCUAAGAUCAAGUGUAUAACAUGUUUUUCAGUAGAGUUUGAGCUAAAAUUAUUUUUCACAAAAUGAUAAAAAACAGUCUCUAGUUAAUAGGAGACAUUGCUUUGGUUUAAUCAUUAGAGAUAUUCAAUGAUUUGCUUUAGUUCAGUCAAUCACUGAUAAGUCGACCUGCA